rnacentral:tRNA from 1 species
GGCCCGUUGGUCAAGUGGCCUAAGACUCCGGUCUCUCACGCCGGCAACAGGGGUUCGAAUCCCCUACGGGUCACCA